rnacentral:rRNA from 1 species
AGCGAACGCUGGCGGCAGGCUUAACACAUGCAAGUCGAACGAAGCCUUCGGGCUUAGUGGCGGACGGGUGAGUAACACGUGGGAACGUACCUUUUGGUUCGGGAUAACACAGGGAAACUUGUGCUAAUACCGAAUGUGCCCUUAGGGGGAAAGAUUUAUCGCCAUUAGAGCGGCCCGCGUUAGAUUAGCUAGUUGGUGGGGUAAAGGCCCACCAAGGCUACGAUCUAUAGCUGGUCUGAGAGGAUGAUCAGCCACACUGGGACUGAGACACGGCCCAGACUCCUACGGGAGGCAGCAGUGGGGAAUCUUGCGCAAUGGUCGAAAGACUGACGCAGCCAUGCCGCGUGAAUGAUGAAGGUCUUAGGAUUGUAAAAUUCUUUUACCAGGGACGAUAAUGACGGUACCUGGAGAAAAAGCUCCGGCUAACUUCGUGCCAGCCGCCGCGGUAA